UAGUAGUUUGAUGUAUCGAGAGAUGAAGAACGAGGAGCAGGAUACAAGUAUGAUAAAAGGAAUCACAGACAUUCCGUAAGGAUAAUAACCCAUGGAGGGCGAAGAUAUCGUCCUUAUCCUCGGAAGGCAAGUUAGAGGAGAUAGUGUUGCUGGAAAUAGCAAGGCGUCGUGAAAUGCACAGCAGCUCGUCUGUAGUUCCUUAGUAUGCGGGGCGAAUAGGAUAAAACGCAUACCUACA
ncrna:unclassified sequences Clostridiales-3 RNA